AUCCAACUGACGACUCGCAAAUAAGACGAAAUGUUGAUCCUGGAU
rnacentral:hammerhead_ribozyme from 1 species